AUUUGGGAGCCAUAACUUCUUUAUUCGAAAGUUUAACUGUGAUGAGCUUAGCUGCUAUCUCCCGUUUUGUUCUCUCUCAGAGAAUCCACAGGGGUUGUCAGUCUUUAAGGACAAACCUCAACGCAUCAGCUGUGCUGCUGUUAGAUUAGGAUGAGGACUGAGGUCUUGCUACAGCAUGUGCCUUGCUGGCCUUAGCACGUGCAUCUGUCUCAGCUGACAUCACUCUGCCAAUCAGCCCAAGUCCUCAAAAGUGUCACGGCUCAGGGGAUACACUUCAGUAUUUACCCAGGUCUGCAAGACCAUCAUCCUGCAAGACCGUCAUCCUGCAAGACCGUCAUCCUGCAAGACUGUCAUCCUGCAAGACCGUCACUUUGUCUGGAGCCAAGGCCCUAAAAAUAAGAUAUUGCUCCUUGCACAUCUACUGUUGUGAUAAAGACCGUGACUAAAAACCACUUGGGGGUGAAAGUGUUUGUUUUACCUUACUCUGUAAGAUAACAGUGCAGUGUGAGGGGAAGUCAGGACAGGAACCCAAGCAGGAACCUGGAAGCUGGAACUGAAGCAGAGACCAUGGAGGGGCUAUGGAAGGGUACUCCUUACAAGGUUUUUCUCCAUGACUUCCCCAGCUUGCUUUCUCAUACUGCCCAGGACUGCCUGCCCAGGGUAGCACAGCCCACAGUGAGCCUGGCUCUCUGACACUAGUAAUUAACCAAGAAAAUAACCUGCUAAUCUGAUGGAGUCACUUUCUCAGUUGACGUUCCUGUUCCCAAAUGAUUUUAACUUGUGUCAAAUUUUAUCAUGUUUGAUACAAAGAAAAAGAAAAGGACUUUUAAGUAACCCAGUUAUAAAGAUUAAAUUCCAACAUCAUUUUGACAAUUUUUUUUCAAAGUAUUUCAAGGUCAGGUGUGUGUGUGUGUGUGUGUGUGUGUGUGUGUGUGUGUGUGUGUGAAUUAAAAAACACAUUACAAACAUGAAUAUCAGAAAUAUGACUAUAAUGGAAUAUUAGAUUCCAUACCUCAUGGUAAUUAGAAAUAAUAGGCAUUUUAUCUAAAACUUUGCCUGGGUUAAUUUUGAAAGACAGAGAGUAUGUUUGGUGUAGGUCAGUAAAAUACUUGGCAAAAGGUUCCCUGUGUGGUGCUGCCAUUUUGUCCUCUUUGUUGGUUAACGCCCACUGAGAGAAUGUCCCCCAACCCUGUUCCUGGAGUGAGAGCCAGUUUGCCUGUUUGGAGAGCGCCAAACCUAAGGAAGCUUCACCAGAGCUCCCCAUGACCUGCGCACAGCACCAGUUUCCUGUCACAUCUUAACCAACAAAUGGUAAACGUUCAACUCUGUCCCUGCUUGCCCUCUUCCUUGGUGUUAGAUUUAAAUGUUGAAACGAGAUCCUAGCCCAGUCAAUGGUAGCCAACCAAAACCAGUCGAUCAUUGAUCCCAAACCCCUUGGGUAUUCUCUCAGAGUCUACUUGAAGCAAGAACAUGUAUAUUAGCUUUUGAGCAGAAGUCUUCUAAAAUAACAGCAGCCAGGAAUACCUGUAGUGGACGCCUUCGCCGACUUAGUCAAUGAGAAUCACCCAAGAGGAAAUGCAGGUGAAUGGAUCUACCACUGGAAAGACUAAGGUAAUGGACUUAACAGAUUUACCAGGCAGGCAAGCCCUUCAAAACAAAGGGACCCGACGGUCUCCUGCCAAUGGGAUGCUUUUCAAGGAAAACACAUCGCAAAUCACAUACAGAAUUUUUAAGUUAUUCACCCAGCCUAUUUGGGAAACCAAGAAGAAAGGAACUAGCUUUAAUUCUAUAUAUUUUCUUAACAGCCUGGUUUGUUUUUAACUAUCUGUGUAAGCGUGUAUCUGUGUGUGUGUGUGGGGUGUCCGUGUGAGCUGGGGUGCCCUCUGAUAUGCAGCAGUCGUAGGCAGUUGAGAACCACUUGACACGGGGAGUGAGAACCGAGCUGAGAUCCCCUGGAAGAAGAGUGUGUGCUCUGAACCAACGAGCCAUCUCCCCAUCCCUUUAGUCUGAAUAUUAUAAUCCAAUAUGUACAAGCCCUGGCAUUUCCCAUUGCAACCAAUAUUUCGAAAGUUGACACAUUUUCUUUCUUCCCUUUAGUACUAUGCUUUGAAACCCAUGUAUGCUUUGUAUCUGUGGCACUUCUCAGUUUUGGCCACGUUUCAAGCCCGCCGUAGCCACUCGAGCCUCGUAGGCCCCACACCAGACAGUACAACAGUCGGGAGUCUUUAGAAACCUGUCCGUCUUCUGGGUAAAGUCUAACACAGAAUAGAGGAACCUCUGGCAGAAAGUCAACUCCCCUUGACUGGGUAAGGGUGGCCAUGGCAGGCCCCUGAAAGUCCCCCAACCCAGCCUUAACUUAAGCCUCAGGUUUGUGGACAACAUCUGACCUCCCCUUGAGCACCCUUGUGAGGGUUUAGCAGUUUUGGUCAUUGACCUACAAAAUAAAUAAACCAAAUUAGU